rnacentral:rRNA from 1 species
AUUGAACGCUGGCGGCAUGCCUUACACAUACAAGUCGAACGGCAGCACGGGAGCAAUCCUGGUGGCGAGUGGCGAACGGGUGAGUAAAGUAUCGGAACGUGCCCAGUCGUGGGGGAUAACGUAGCGAAAGUUACGCUAAUACCGCAUACGAUCUAUGGAUGAAAGCGGGGGAUCGCAAGACCUCGCGCGAUUGGAGCGGCCGAUAUCAGAUUAAGUAGUUGGUGGGGUAAAGGCCCACCAAGCCGACGAUCUGUAGCUGGUCUGAGAGGACGACCAGCCACACUGGGACUGAGACACGGCCCAGACUCCUACGGGAGGCAGCAGUGGGGAAUUUUGGACAAUGGGCGAAAGCCUGAUCCAGCCAUGCCGCGUGCAGGAUGAAGGCCUUCGGGUUGUAAACUGCUUUUGUACGGAACGAAAAGGACUGCCCUAAUACGGUGGUCCCAUGACGGUACCGUAAGAAUAAGCACCGGCUAACUACGUGCCAGCCGCCGCGGUAA